rnacentral:rRNA from 1 species
AUUGAACGCUGGCGGCAGGCUUAACACAUGCAAGUCGAGCGGGGGAAGGUAGCUUGCUACCGGACCUAGCGGCGGACGGGUGAGUAAUGCUUAGGAAUCUGCCUGUUAGUGGGGGACAACAUCUCGAAAGGGAUGCUAAUACCGCAUACGUCCUACGGGAGAAAGCAGGGGAUCUUCGGACCUUGCGCUAAUAGAUGAGCCUAAGUCGGAUUAGCUAGUUGGUGGGGUAAAGGCCUACCAAGGCGACGAUCUGUAGCGGGUCUGAGAGGAUGAUCCGCCACACUGGGACUGAGACACGGCCCAGACUCCUACGGGAGGCAGCAGUGGGGAAUAUUGGACAAUGGGGUGAACCCUGAUCCAGCCAUGCCGCGUGUGUGAAGAAGGCCUUAUGGUUGUAAAGCACUUUAAGCGAGGAGGAGGCCACUCUAGUUAAUACCUAGGGAUAGUGGACGUUACUCGCAGAAUAAGCACCGGCUAACUCUGUGCCAGCCGCCGCAGUAA